GCUGAGGUGGUGGAAUGGUAGACACGAUGGACUUAAAAUCCAUUGCCUUAACGGGUGUGUGGGUUCGACUCCCACCCUCAGUACCA
rnacentral:tRNA from 1 species